GCUCGAACGAAGCGGGUGGGUGCUGUCGCUGAAGCGGGGGACAAGGACGUCCCCGGUAGUCUUGGCUGGCCAGGGACGGCCAUCCAAGACGGCGUAAGCGACGGCUCCCACCCGCUUCAGCCCCCG
rfam:Marinobacter nanhaiticus D15-8W genomic scaffold super1, whole genome shotgun sequence.